rnacentral:lncRNA from 1 species
AAAAGAUCAGAGAACAGCCUCAGAGACCUUUCUCUCUUGAAGAUAAAAAACGGGCACCCUUCCUUCUUCUUCCUCAUUUUCUAACCUAGUAACACACAAGAACAGACUCCUUCCUUCAACACCAAUCCCAGCAGCCCGUCUUGUCAUUAUCAUUUGCACCUCACACACACUAAAACCAUGGAAAAGAAAUCAUCCUCUGAGGCUUAAAAGAAGACAAAUAGAGUAGUGAAGACCUGGAGAAAUCUUCAUUGAAGAAAGAAAAGCAAGUUGUGUCCGAAUUUCGCUUGGAAGUGCAGUGAUUGAUCUUCAAUUUCUGGGUGUUUUAAGACCCAUUUAAUUUUCUGAAAAUUUGUGAGCUAAUCUCUGGGUUUCAGAGAGUGAUUAAACUCUUAAAUCAUUGUUGAGUGUUGCUGAUUCACUACGUUGCUGAACUCCAGAUUCAUUUUUAUCACUGUUUCUCUAUAUUCCAUUUCUACAUCAAGGUACUCUUCUUGAUUUUGACCAUGUAACUUGAUUUGGAUAAUUCAUGUUCUAUGAAAAAUAAUUUUGUGAAGUUACAUGUUCUUCUCUGUUAAGAUAAUGACUAUUAGCGUCGAUUUGUAUGCCAUGUUUAUGACUAAUUUCAUAGAUAAAACAUGAGAUUUUUCUAUACCCUCUCAUAUGCUAUUUUUGUGUUAGUUUGUUUGUUGAACUAAGUGUUUAAAUUCAAAUCAUUCUUUGAAUCAGUUUGUUAAUCAUGGUUUCGAAUACUGCUUAUAACUUCAUUUGUGUUAGCUUGAUGUUCUGAUUUUCACUUAAGGUUGAAAGUUGAAAUUACAAACCACACAUUAUUAGCUUAGUGUCUAUUGAUAGUAGACCUAUCUACAUGGAGCAGUAGUUGUUGUAUUUUAAGGAACUGAACUUAAUGGUCGCUCCUGAUGAAGAAUCUUUUGUGGCUCUAAAAAUGCUCUUUUUCUCAUUCCAGACUCUGUUGUUGCCGAUGAGCUUUUCUCUCAGUUUAAUUCUUUCUAUCGGACGUGGAAAUGGAUAUUCAACCCUGGGAAUAUGAAGCUAUUGUUUCAUAGACCUGAGUCUUUUGUUUGGAAUGCUAAUAAUCAUGUAGCCUCCAGAGUUGCUCGAGGGCAUAUAAUUUGUGGUGUCCAUUUCUUCUUGUUCUGAUAAGUGAUAACUUGAUUCCCUUUGAAGAUUUUAUUUCUUCUGCUAGUACAUAUUCAUAGAUGUAGAGAAAAAAGUUUAACUGCUAUUUAUAUUUUAUCAAGCUGAAAAGCUAUGGCAUGAACUUUUGCUGAUUUUUAAGGAAAGUUGAUUUACUCUAUUUGAUAUUUCUUUUUUAGAUGUUCAAUGUUCAUUAGAUGUGAGUUUACCUGAUAAGAUAGGA